rnacentral:misc_RNA from 1 species
UUUUCGUAGGUGAACCUGCGGAAGGAUCAUUACAGAGUUGCGACUCCUCCGGGAGCCAUCUCCACCCCUUGACUACCAACAUUGUUGCUUUGGCGGGCCGCGGCCCUGCUGCCGCCGGCCCCGGCUGGCGAGCGCCCGCCAGAGGCUUUUAAAUCUUACUUGCAAUGAGUCUGAGCGAAAAAACAAUGCGAAAAACUUUCAACAACGGAUCUCUUGGUUCUG